rnacentral:rRNA from 6 species
UAAACUGGAGGAAGGUGGGGAUGACGUCAAGUCAUCAUGGCCCUUACGACCAGGGCUACACACGUGCUACAAUGGCGCAUACAAAGAGAAGCGACCUCGCGAGAGCAAGCGGACCUCAUAAAGUGCGUCGUAGUCCGGAUUGGAGUCUGCAACUCGACUCCAUGAAGUCGGAAUCGCUAGUAAUCGUGGAUCAGAAUGCCACGGUGAAUACGUUCCCGGGCCUUGUACACACCGCCCGUCACACCAUGGGAGUGGGUUGCAAAAGAAGUAGGUAGCUUAACCUUCGGGAGGGCGCUUACCACUUUGUGAUUCAUGACUGGGGUGAAGUCGUAACAAGGUAACCGUAGGGGAACCUGCGGUUGGA